rnacentral:rRNA from 1 species
AUUGAACGCUGGCGGCAGGCUUAACACAUGCAAGUCGAACGGAGUGAUGGUGCUUGCACUAUCACUUAGCGGCGGACGGGUGAGUAAUGCUUAGGAAUCUGCCUAUUAGUGGGGGACAACAUCUCGAAAGGGAUGCUAAUACCGCAUACGUCCUACGGGAGAAAGCAGGGGAUCACUUGUGACCUUGCGCUAAUAGAUGAGCCUAAGUCGGAUUAGCUAGUUGGUGGGGUAAAGGCCUACCAAGGCGACGAUCUGUAGCGGGUCUGAGAGGAUGAUCCGCCACACUGGGACUGAGACACGGCCCAGACUCCUACGGGAGGUAGCAGUGGGGAAUAUUGGACAAUGGGGGGAACCCUGAUCCAGCCAUGCCGCGUGUGUGAAGAAGGCCUUAUGGUUGUAAAGCACUUUAAGCGAGGAGGAGGCUCUUUUGGUUAAUACCCAAGAUGAGUGGACGUUACUCGCAGAAUAAGCACCGGCUAACUCUGUGCCAGCCGCCGCGGUAAGAC